rnacentral:rRNA from 1 species
CCAAAGUGGGGGACCUUCGGGCCUCAUGCCAUCAGAUGUGCCCAGAUGGGAUUAGCUAGUAGGUGGGGUAACGGCUCACCUAGGCGACGAUCCCUAGCUGGUCUGAGAGGAUGACCAGCCACACUGGAACUGAGACACGGUCCAGACUCCUACGGGAGGCAGCAGUGGGGAAUAUUGCACAAUGGGCGCAAGCCUGAUGCAGCCAUGCCGCGUGUGUGAAGAAGGCCUUCGGGUUGUAAAGCACUUUCAGCGGGGAGGAAGGCGAUAAGGUUAAUAACCUUGUCGAUUGACGUUACCCGCAGAAGAAGCACCGGCUAACUCCGUGCCAGCAGCCGCGG